rnacentral:lncRNA from 1 species
CGCUCCCUGGAGGCCCCUCCAGAGAGGGACCCGGAGCCCCGCCCCGCAGCUGGAGAAGGGGUGAAUGCCUUUCCUACCUAACGCCUGGUCCGCGGCCCUGCUUGUUGCGUCUCCAAGACCACGUGUCUGCUGCAUUUUAAAAAUAGUUAUGAACAUCUGACUUUCUCCUUUUACUUUGGAGUUUGCUGAAAUGUAACCUCAGAAUAAGUGGGGUGUGACUGCCCUCUCCUUUCAGGGAAAAGAAAAAGUAUUUUCAGGCCAGGCACGGUGGCUCAUGCUUAUAAUCCCAGCACUUUGGGAGGCUGAGAAUACAUCAAUAAAAGAAGAACAAUUCAAGAGAAACAGGAAAUUCACAGAAGAGGAAACCGGAAUUGUCAUAAACAAAUGAAAAAUGCUCAACUUCCCUAGUAAUUAUGAGAAUUCAAAUCAAAAUAAAGACUUCAUUUCACACUUA